rnacentral:rRNA from 1 species
UACGAAGGGGGCGAGCGUUGUUCGGAAUUACUGGGCGUAAAGGGCGCGUAGGCGGCCGAUCAAGUCAGAUGUGAAAGUCCUGGGCUUACCUGGGGACUGCAUUUGAUACUGAUUGGCUUGAAUGCAGGAGAGGAUAGCGGAAUUCCCAGUGUAGAGGUGAAAUUCGUAGAUAUUGGGAAGAACACCGGUGGCGAAGGCGGCUAUCUGGACUGUGAUUGACGCUGAGGCGCGAAAGCGUGGGGAGCAAACAGG